UACGUAGGGGGCAAGCGUUGUCCGGAAUCAUUGGGCGUAAAGAGCGUGUAGGCGGCCAGAAAAGUCCGCUGUGAAAACUCGAGGCUCAACUUCGAGCUGUCAGCGGAAACUUUCUGGCUAGAGUCCGGAAGAGGAGAAUGGAAUUCCUGGUGUAGCGGUGAAAUGCGCAGAUAUCAGGAAGAACACCCGUGGCGAAGUCGGUUCUCUGGGACGGUACUGACGCUGAGACGCGAAAGCGUGGGGAGCGAACAGG
rnacentral:rRNA from 1 species